UGGGGAAUCUUGGACAAUGGGGGCAACCCUGAUCCAGCGACGCCGCGUGGGUGGUAAGGCCUUCGGGUUGUAAAGCCCUUUCACCGGGGAAGAUGAUGACAUUACUCGGAGAAGAAGCGCCGGCUAACUCCGUGCCAGCAGCCGCGGUAAGACGGAGGGCGCUAGCGUUGUUCGGAAUCACUGGGCGUAAAGGGCGCGUAGGGGGCUGUUUAAGUCGAGGGUGAAAGCCCGGGGCUCAACCGCGGAUCGGCCUACGAGACUGGGCAGGUCGAGUCCGGAAGAGGAGGGUGGAAUACCCAGUGUAGAGGUGAAAUUCGUAGAUAUUGGGUAGAACACCAGUGGCGAAAGCGGCUCUCUGGUCCGGAUCUGACGCUGAGGCGCGAAAGCGUGGGGAGCAAACAGGAUUAGAUACCCCUGUAGUCC
rnacentral:rRNA from 1 species